rnacentral:rRNA from 1 species
GGAAUUUUGGACAAUGGGCGCAAGCCUGAUCCAGCAAUGCCGCGUGAGUGAAGAAGGCCUUCGGGUUGUAAAGCUCUUUUGUCAGGGAAGAAACGGUGGACUCUAAUACAGAUCACUAAUGACGGUACCUGAAGAAUAAGCACCGGCUAACUACGUGCCAGCAGCCGCGGUAAUACGUAGGGUGCAAGCGUUAAUCGGAAUUACUGGGCGUAAAGCGUGCGCAGGCGGUUUGGUAAGACAGAUGUGAAAUCCCCGGGCUCAACCUGGGAAUUGCAUUUGUGACUGCCCGGCUAGAGUGUGUCAGAGGGGGGUAGAAUUCCACGUGUAGCAGUGAAAUGCGUAGAGAUGUGGAGGAAUACCGAUGGCGAAGGCAGCCCCCUGGGAUAACACUGACGCUCAUGCACGAAAGCGUGGGGAGCAAACAGGAUUAGAUACCCUAG